CCCGCGCGACCCGAGGAUGAGGAGGAGCCCUUCGAGGAGGAGAUGGAGUACUGCGACCCCGAGGAGCCGCUGGGCAACGACGACUUCGACGAUUACGCCAAGGAGCUGUCGCAGUACCGGCGCAGCAAGGACAGGGGCCGCGGCCGUGGUCCCCGCGGCCCCCGUGGCCCCAGGGGGGCAGGGGCAGCAAAGGGC